CACAGAUAUAAUACAGGAAGGUUUCUUUGGCUGUUGCUGAUUGGUCUGCCAGAAGAGACAAUAACAGUAUUUUGUGAUAAUGUGAAAAUGUUUCAAGCAGCCUGCUUUGGUACAGUGGCAGAAAUUAGGAUUUGGAUUCUAGCUCUACUACAUAUGUACCUCCCAUGUGGUCUUCAGAAAG